GACGAACCGAGCGAACGUUGUUCGGAAUCACUGGGCUUAAAGGGCGCGUAGGCGGGCUGCCGCAUCCGGGGUGAAAUCCUCCGGCUCAACCGGGGAAGGGCCUCGGGUACGGGCGGCCUCGAGGGGGUAGGGGCGUGCGGAAGCUGUGGGUGGAGCGGUGAAAUGCGUUGAUAUCCACAGGAACUCCGGUGGCGAAGGCGGCACGCUG
rnacentral:rRNA from 1 species